CGCCCCUCACCCCGGGGUGAGGGGAAAGCGAAGGAGCCGCUCCUCACCGAGCAGCCCGCCUUCGCCAGCGCGGCCGCCCGGGGGCCUCGCCCGGAAAGGCGCCGCCCGCCCGCCCAAACGCGGCUGCAGGCGGGCGAAAUCGCGCCCAGGGCCGCCAGGGGCAGACCUGCCGCUCCGGGCGCGCCCUGAGGCGCGGCGGCUGGGGCCGCUGCCCCGCUGCGCUCCGGGGCCGCUAACAGACGCGGAGCCGCCGUUCGGGCACGGGCCCCCUGCAGCGGCGCGCAGGUCGGCACCGGAGCGCGCAGCCCGCCGCGAGCCGCCGCCUCGCGCGCGCAGGGAACCGUUGCGGCCGUUGGCCGCCAUUUGAGGCAGCGGCUGCCGGGCGGUGCGCGUCGCUCUGGAGGCGGCGGUGCCCGGAGCGGCCGGGCCCCGGCGGGAGAGGGAUGGUGCUGCCGCCCUGCAGGCCGGGCCUGCCGUUUCCACCGUCCACCUUUUAAAUAGGCGUUGCCUUGAUGUUCUCCCUCUGUUCUUUAUCCUGUCAGAAAUAGUAGGGAUGUUGCUUUGAUGCGUUUCGUUGUACUGAGGUGGGAAGACAUUUUGUGAAGAACUUGUGCUUUUCCUUUCCUUGGCCUCUGGAAGUUGGAUACUGCUGCCUUGCUCUUUUUCCUCAGGUGAUUUUCCUUGUGAAUAUGCAAUUUUGUCACUUCAGCGUUUCUACGUGACUCAUUUAACGUGCAUAAAACUGAGAGGCUUGCAGGCUAGGCUGGAAAGACUGACUUCAACAGCAGAAAACUUGGGCUUUUCACGUAUAUGUUUCUGUAUACGUUGAGACGCAAGAGCCUCGUGAACAUUAGCAUCUCUUACUGCAGACGAGCCUGGCUGAGCCUUCCACCAGCGAUGCUGAAGUGAGCAAAGCUGUCAUCUUCGAACAGAUUAUCUUGUCCCUCUUUGCGGCCUUGUUAACAAAUGGAAAAUCUGCUUUAAGAAAAGAGGUCACCGUUGAUAAUGCAGUGAGAGCACCACUUAAGGAGAAAGGGCUGAAUUCAAUUACACACGCAAUAAAACUCAUUUGUGAAACUAAAUAGAAAAAUAAUACUGUUCAGCUUUGUUUACAUAUAUGCAUAAACCAGUCUAGGCAAUUGAAGUGUAAAAAUGAGUCAAAAUGCAGAUUGAUUCUUAAAUCAAUUCUUUUUUUAUCCUUGGAAACCAUGGACAGGAAUGUACAGCUCCACGAAACGGAGACCAAACAUACAGAAUCAUAACAUUCCCUGGAAUGCCGAGCGACGGUUUUGCUAAGCAGAUUCCAGAAUUUUGAAAUCAGGAACUCAAAAAUUUAACUAGUGCUGAAGAUUGCAAUUUCUCAUCACCAUUCAGAAUUUCAUUCACAGAAGAGAGACCUGAGCAAGAAAUGAAAGAAAGGCAACAAUGUACAAGUGACCAAUACACUGAUCUAUGAGAAAACAUGAGAAGACUUGAAGCGAAAUCCUCAGUAUUGUGGAGUUAAUAUUCAAUAGACUUGGAAACUGGCUGGCACCUUGGUUGCCUCUCAAACGAGCUGAAGUUCUGACUUGCCAGCACACUAGCAGAGAAUGCUUUACCCUGCAAACUCCUGGAUUUAUUAUUUUAAGGUAUCGUGUCCUGGUCUGUGAUCCUUGACUCUUCUAGCUGUUGAUAUGCUGGUCCCGUAAUUCCAUUGAACCUACCCCGAGGUAAGGGAGGAGUCCUCCGAAAGGCAUUUUUAUGUAGA